CUCAGCGGAGAGGAGGUUGUUCUUACCCUUGGCUGUGGAGAUACUGUGGAGGCACUAAUGGACGGACAUUAUAGAACACUUUGUUGGUGAAUAAGGUGGUUGCUUAACUUUGUUCUCAGAACCACUUUAAUCCCAGCAAUGGCGCAAUGGUCAUGGAUUUGUGGGAGGAGGAUUAUGCUCUCCAUCCUGGCCUUCACAUCAGUGCAGCAGGACAAGAUCAACUCAUCCCCUGUCACUGCUGCUGGAAGGGGUAAUCCUACAGAUGCCACACCUCACUCUGUCUCCUACCUUUUCUCUUGUGCCAGCUCUGGUGCUUCAGUGAGCUGGUCAGAAAGACCUACACUACUGCGCGGCUGCCUGUGGUUCACAUCAGCUCUCCGCUUCAAGCUUUUGUUCAGCUCGUCUUCUGUGACACCCUGCACUCUGAGGGAGCAGGGGUGUGUGGCAAAGGAGGAGGGCAGCAGCCCUUUGUAGCAGCAAUGCAAAUACAAAGUGGCAUAACCCUGACAGGAAACUGCACCCUAAAUAACCAUUGUGGAAGCAGCCCUCAGUGGAGCUUGGCUGCAGGAAUCAACUCUGAUUUACAGGUGACUUCAGUUUCUGCAGGUGACAUCAGUCUUACUGCACACUGUAUCUCAGUUUUUCUUUGAA